GACGAACGCUGGCGGCGUGCUUAACACAUGCAAGUCGAACGGAAAGGCCCUGCUUUUGUGGGGUGCUCGAGUGGCGAACGGGUGAGUAACACGUGAGUAACCUGCCCUUGACUUUGGGAUAACUUCAGGAAACUGGGGCUAAUACCGGAUAGGAGCUCCUGCUGCAUGGUGGGGGUUGGAAAGUUUCGGCGGUUGGGGAUGGACUCGCGGCUUAUCAGCUUGUUGGUGGGGUAGUGGCUUACCAAGGCUUUGACGGGUAGCCGGCCUGAGAGGGUGACCGGCCACAUGGGGACUGGGAUACGGCCCAGACUCCUACGGGAGGCAGCAGUGGGGAAUAUUGCACAAGGGGCGGAAGCCUGAUGCAGCAACGCCGCGUGCGGGAUGACGGCCUUCGGGUUGUAAACCGCUUUCGCCUGUGACGAAGCGUGAGUGACGGUAAUGGGUAAAGAAGCACCGGCUAACUACG
rnacentral:rRNA from 1 species